UACAACAUCGAUUGAUACUCUCUGGUGAGA
rnacentral:piRNA from 1 species